UGGUAGUCCACGCCGUAAACGAUGUCGACUUGGAGGUUGUGCCCUUGAGGCGUGGCUUCCGGAGCUAACGCGUUAAGUCGACCGCCUGGGGAGUACGGCCGCAAGGUUAAAACUCAAAUGAAUUGACGGGGGCCCGCACAAGCGGUGGAGCCAUGUGGUUUAAUUCGAUGCAACGCGAAGAACCUUACCUGGUCUUGACAUCCACGGAAGUUUUCAGAGAUGAGAAUGUGCUUCGGGAACCGUGAGACAGGUGCUGCAUGGCUGUCGUCAGCUCGUGUUGUGAAAUGUUGGGUUAAGUCCCGCAACGAGCGCAACCCUUAUCCUUUGUUGCCAGCGGUCCGGCCGGGAACUCAAAGGAGACUGCCAGUGAUAAACUGGAGGAAGGUGGGGAUGACGUCAAGUCAUCAUGGCCCUUACGACCAGGGCUACACACGUGCUACAAUGGCGCAUACAAAGAGAAGCGACCUCGCGAGAGCAAGCGGACCUCAUAAAGUGCGUCGUAGUCCGGAUUGGAGUCUGCAACUCGACUCCAUGAAGUCGGAAUCGCUAGUAAUCGUGGAUCAGAAUGCCACGGUGAAUACGUUCCCGGCCUU
rnacentral:rRNA from 1 species